rnacentral:tRNA from 1 species
UCCUUGGUGGUCCAGUGGUUAAGACUCUGAGCUUCCAAUACAGGGGGCAGGGGUUCAAUCCCUGGUCAGGGAA